rnacentral:rRNA from 1 species
AGUGAACGCUGGCGGUAGGCCUAACACAUGCAAGUCGAACGGCAGCACAGUAAGAGCUUGCUCUUACGGGUGGCGAGUGGCGGACGGGUGAGGAAUACAUCGGAAUCUACUUUUUCGUGGGGGAUAACGUAGGGAAACUUACGCUAAUACCGCAUUCGACCUACGGUUGAAAGCAGGGGAUCUUCGGACCUUGCGCGAUUGAAUGAGCCGAUGUCGGAUUAGCUAGUUGGCGGGGUAAAGGCCCACCAAGGCGCCGAUCCGUAGCUGGUCUGAGAGGAUGAUCAGCCACACUGGAACUUAGACACGGUCCAGACUCCUACGGGAGGCAGCAGUGGGGAAUAUGAGACAAUGGGCGCAAGCCUGAUCCAGCCAUAGCGCGUGGGUGAAGAAGGCCUUCGGGUUGUAAAGCCCUUUUGUUGGGAAAGAAAAGCAGCAGGUUAAUACCCCGCUGUUCCGACGGUACCCAAAGAAUAAGCACCGGCUAACUUCGUG